UACAGAGACUGCAAGCGUUAUUCGGAUUCACUGGGCGUAAAGGGCGCGUAGGCGGUCAGCACAAGUCAGUUGUGAAAUCUCCGGGUUAUACUCGGAAAGGUCAACUGAUACUGUGCGACUAGAGUGCAGAAGGGGCAACUGGAAUUCUCGGUGUAGCGGUGAAAUGCGUAGAUAUCGAGAGGAACACCUGCGGCGAAGGCGGGUUGCUGGGCUGACACUGACGCUGAGGCGCGAAAGCCAGGGGAGCAAACGGG
rnacentral:rRNA from 1 species